rnacentral:rRNA from 1 species
AACGAACGCUGGCGGCAGGCCUAACACAUGCAAGUCGAACGAAGUCUUCGGACUUAGUGGCGCACGGGUGAGUAACACGUGGGAAUAUACCUUACGCUGGGGGAUAACAUCGGGAAACUGAUGCUAAUACCGCAUACGCCCUUCGGGGGAAAGAUUUAUCGGCGAAAGAUUAGCCCGCGUCCGAUUAGCUAGUUGGUGAGGUAAUGGCUCACCAAGGCUCCGAUCGGUAGCUGGUCUGAGAGGAUGACCAGCCACACUGGGACUGAGACACGGCCCAGACUCCUACGGGAGGCAGCAGUGGGGAAUAUUGGACAAUGGGCGCAAGCCUGAUCCAGCCAUGCCGCGUGAGUGAUGAAGGCCUUAGGGUUGUAAAGCUCUUUCACCCACGACGAUGAUGGCGGUAGUGGGAGAAGAAGCCCCGGCUAACUUCGUG